rnacentral:rRNA from 1 species
UACGGAGGGUGCAAGCGUUAAUCGGAAUUACUGGGCGUAAAGCGUGCGCAGGCGGUUUGUUAAGUCCGUUGUGAAAGCCCCGAGCUCAACUUGGGAAUUGCAGUGGAUACUGGCAGGCUGGAGUACGGUAGAGGAAGGUGGAAUUCCCGGUGUAGCAGUGAAAAUGCGUAGAUAUCGGGAGGAACACCAGUGGCGAAGGCGGCCUUCUGGACCAGUACUGACGCUCAUGCACGAAAGCGUGGGGAGCAAACAGG